CAUUAGCAUGGAAUAAUGGAAUAGGACUGGGGGACUAUUUAUUGGUUUGAGGCUCCAGUAAUGAUUAAUAGGAACAGUCGGGGGCAUUAGUAUUUAAUUUCCAGAGGUGAAAUUCUUUGAAAUAUUAAAGACUAACUUAUGCGAAAGCAUCGUUUGCCAAUGAUGUUUUCAUUAAUCAUUGAACGAAAGUUAGGGGAUCAAAGACGAUCAGAUACCGUCCUAGUCUUAACCAUAAACGUUGCCGACUAGGGAUCGGAGGGCGUGCACAAUCCGCCUUCGGCACCUUACGAGAAAUCAAAGUCUUUUGGGUUCUGUGGGUAGUAUGGUCGCAAGGCUGAAACUUAAAGGAAUUGACGGAAGGGCACCACCAGGAGUGGAGCUUGCGGCUCAAUUUGACUCAACACGGGG
rnacentral:rRNA from 1 species